GAUCAUUUCAGGCAAUAAGAACCCAUGUAACGACUAGUGGUCGUGGCUGAACAUUGUGAACGUAGUCUGGAAGACUUGCUUCGAGAAAGGAAACCUGUAAGCUCUUCAACGGUUCUGUGUAUAGCAUUUGAGGUUCUUCAGGGCUUGCAGUAUAUGAACAAACAUGGUAUAGUACACAGGGCAUUGUCUCCUCAUAAUAUCCUGUUGGACCGAAAGGGACAUAUUAAAUUGGCUAAAUUUGGACUUUAUCACAUGACAGCUCAUGGUGAUGAUGUUGAUUUCCCAAUAGGUAUGUGAAAGAGAAAAUACUUGGCAAGAUAGUUUUAAAAUGUGUGUAAAGAACAAACACCUACAAAAAGCCUGCAUUUUCCCAAAGAGAAACUAAAAGGUAUCCCUCAUACUUGGCCCCUGAGGUAAUUGCACAGGGAAUUUUCAAAACCACUGAUCACAUACCAAGUAAAAAACCAUUGCCUUCUGGCCCCAAAUCAGAUGUAUGGUCUCUUGGAAUCAUUUUAUUUGAGCUUUGUGU
rnacentral:sRNA from 1 species